UCAAUUCUUUCUCUCUCUUCACUCAAAACUCAGAGUUGCUCUGCAACUCUCGCCUCACCUCCCCGUCUUCACCACGGCCAACACCUGCCGGAGAAGACGGUGGCGGCCGGCCAACCGUUGCGGCGCCGCCUUCUUCUCCGGCGACCCCCACCCCAAAACCUAAAUGUCUAAACACAAACCCACCUCUUUUUGGCCGAAGAAUCCAAAUCCGGCCUCAUUUUAACCUAAAUGCUCCUCCUCCGGCCGGAUCGGCGCCCCUCUCAAAAUGGAGAUUCAAAACUCCGUUCGACUCUCAACAUCAACCGCGCGUGGCAACUGCUAAUGGAUUCGACACGGCGAGCGGGGGUUUGUUUUAAUUACAACAAUGAACAAAAUGGCAUAUGAGUUUCAAGCGAAGAAGGAGAGAAGAGGGCUACUUGGUUUGCAUCGCCGACGAUGAUAAGUUCUUCUUCUCCUUUAACUUUUCGUCCUCUUCUGCUCUGUCUUCUUCUUUUAGAAUGUUGUUUGUUUUUUGAUGGUUGUGUGAAUGUUAAUGGAAAAACUAUGGUUGUGGUUCCUUGCCUUGUUGAUUUUUCCGUUCUCUCUACUUUUCUCUAUUCUAGGUAUUUAUGUUCUUAUGAUGAAUUUUUUAAAUCUUAAAAUUAUUUGUCAGGUUUUCUUUUCAUCCCAGAUUUUAUGGCAUUAUUAUUUUGUGGAUUCUAUGUUGUUUGAAUUGGUUGCAAAAUACAUUUUUGGGUGUUUACUUUGGUUCUCUGUGCAAAGCCUUAAACUGAUUAACUUAUCCAUUAUUUUCCAGAUUUUUUAAGUGCUUAUUUGAAAAGACUUUUAAUCUUUGAGUUAAUUUUGCAGGUCACACAAAUGAAGAGACCUUGAUUGAAAGGAGAAGUCUGCGCCAGCAUUUGGAGGAGGUUGAAUUUUGGGUGUUUCAAUUCCAAAGGGUAGUUCGACAUGCAGGACGGUCUUGGCAACUGGUUUCAAAAGGCUUUGCCUUCAAUUUUGAAUUUGCAGCACAACACUUAAUUACUUUGAUGUAACGUUUUGCAUUUUGGAUAAUUGUAUUAACUUUGGGACUGUCUGUAGCAUAUGUACAAUUUUAAUUUAAGACCUUUUUUGGAUAA